UCCUCGAUGGUCUAGUGGUGAUGAUUUCCGCUUGUCAUUCAGUUACACGAACUGACGAGCGCGGGAGACCAGGGUUCGAUUCCCUGUCGGGGAG
rfam:Emmonsia crescens TAMH 3008 supercont1.38, whole genome shotgun sequence.